UUUAGUUGUGUUCUUUGAUCUUGUGCAACCUAUUUAGACCGAUGAUAGCCCGCGGAUAGGUGUGGAAACCCAUCUAUAUUGCACCUAGUAUGACAAAGAAAAAAUCCAGGGCCUAGGGGUCGGGUGGGGCUCGUUCAGGGGUGCACAACGGUUGCGCCAAAAACGCGUCCAAAAUAGCGAAGCCCUUACCAUACGAAAAAUCGGCGGAUUUUUAACCGUGUGAGAAACGUCCCGAAAAUUCACAGAUAACUACUAGGCGACCUCACUUUAUGUAAUAUUAAAGUUCUUUACAAAAACGGCUCGGAGAUGCCAGACUCAGUUUUUAUUUUCGUCCCAAUACUUUUCUUCCAUGGUUUAGUUGUGUUUCUUUGAUCUUGUGCAACCUAAUUAGACCGAUGAUAGCCCGCGGAUAGGUGUGGAAACCCAUCUAUAUUGCACCCAGUAUGACACAGAAAAAAGCCCAGGCCUAGGGUCGGGUGGGGCUCGUUCGGGUGUGCACAACGAUUGCGCCAAAACGGUCCAAAAACGGUCCAAAAAUGGCGAAAACAAAAACUGACUCCAGGGCAUAUUUUUUCGGCCUUUAUGGGCAAAGAACCUUAAUACCGCUCAAAAUGAGGCCACCCAGUAGUAGGGGUGGAAUUUUCAAGACCUUUGGCAUCGUUUCUAAGACGGUCCUCUCUUCGUAGGCUAAUGCAUUGGCCCUUUUUUUGACUCAUUUUGGGGCGAAACAAAAACUGACUCUCGGGCAUAUUUUUUUCGGCCUUUAUGGGCAAAGAACCUUAAUACCGCUCAAAAUGAGGCCACCCAGUAAUUAGGUGUGAAUUUUCGAGACCUUUGGCAUUGUUCUAAGAUGGUUCUCUCUUCGUAGGCUAAUGCAUUGGCCCUUUUUUACCCGUUUUGGGGCGAAAACAAAGACUGACUCCCGGGCAUAUUUUUUCGGCCUUUAUGGGCAAAGAACCUUAAUACCGCUCAAAAUGAGGCCACCCAAUAGUUAGGUGCGAAUUUACGAGACCUUUGGCAUCGUUCUAAGAUGGGUCCUCUCUUCGUAGGCUAAUGCAUUGGCCAUUUUUUUACCGUUUUGGGGCGAAAACAAAAUCUGACUCCCGGGCAUAUUUUUUUCGGCCUUUAUGGGCAAGAACUUGAAUACGCUCAAAAUGAGGCCACCCAGUAGUUAGGUGUGAUUUUCGAGACCUUUGGCAUCGUUCUAAGAUUGUUCCUCUCUUCGUAGGAUAAUGCAUUGGCCCUUUUUUAAUCGUUUUGGGGCGAAAACAAAAACUGACUCCCGGGCGUAUUUUUUUCGGCCUUUAUGGGCAGAGAACUUUAAUACCGCUCAAAAUGAGGCCACCCAGUAGUUAGGUGUGAAUUUUCGAGACCUUCGGCACCGUUCUAAGAUGGGUCCUCUCUUCGUAGGCUAAUGCAUUGGCCCUUUUUGACCCGUUUUGGGCGAAAACAAAAACUGACUCCCGGGCGUAUUUUUUUCGGCCUUUAUGGGCAGAGAACUUUAAUACCGCUCAAAAUGAGGCCACCCAGUAGUUAGGUGUGAAUUUUCGAGACCUUCGGCACCGUUCUAAGAUGGGUCCUCUCUUCGUAGGCUAAUGCAUUGGCCCUUUUUGACCCGUUUUGGGGCGAAAACAAAAACUGACUCCCGGCGUAUUUUUUUCGGCCUUUAUGGGCAGAGAACUUUAAUACCGCUCAAAAUGAGGCCACCCAGUAGUUAGGUGUGAAUUUUCGAGACCUUCGGCACCGUUCUAAGAUGGGUCCUCUCUUCGUAGGCUAAUGCAUUGGCCCUUUUUGACCCGUUUUGGGGCGAAAACAAAAACUGACUCCGGGCGUAUUUUUUUCGGCCUUUAUGGGCAGAGAACUUUAAUACCGCUCAAAAUGAGGCCACCCAGUAGUUAGGUGUGAAUUUUCGAGACCUUCGGCACCGUUCUAAGAUGGGUCCUCUCUUCGUAGGCUAAUGCAUUGGCCCUUUUUGACCCGUUUUGGGGCGAAAACAAAAACUGACUCCCGGGCGUAUUUUUUUCGGCCUUUAUGGGCAGAGAACUUUAAUACCGCUCAAAAUGAGGCCACCCAGUAGUUAGGUGUGAAUUUUCGAGACCUUCGGCACCGUUCUAAGAUGGGUCCUCUCUUCGUAGGCUAAUGCAUUGGCCCUUUUUGACCCGUUUUGGGGCGAAAACAAAAACUGACUCCCGGGCGUAUUUUUUUUCGGCCUUUAUGGGCAGAGAACUUUAAUACCGCUCAAAAUGAGGCCACCCAGUAGUUAGGUGUGAAUUUUCGAGACCUUCGGCACCGUUCUAAGAUGGGUCCUCUCUUCGUAGGCUAAUGCAUUGGCCCUUUUUGACCCGUUUUGGGGCGAAAACAAAAACUGACUCCCGGGCGUAUUUUUUUUCGGCCUUUAUGGGCAGAGAACUUUAAUACCGCUCAAAAUGAGGCCACCCAGUAGUUAGGUGUGAAUUUUCGAGACCUUCGGCACCGUUCUAAGAUGGGUCCUCUCUUCGUAGGCUAAUGCAUUGGCCCUUUUUGACCCGUUUUGGGCGAAAACAAAAACUGACUCCCGGGCGUAUUUUUUUCGGCCUUUAUGGGCAGAGAACUUUAAUACCGCUCAAAAUGAGGCCACCCAGUAGUUAGGUGUGAAUUUUCGAGACCUUCGGCACCGUUCUAAGAUGGGUCCUCUCUUCGUAGGCUAAUGCAUUGGCCCUUUUUGACCCGUUUUGGGGCGAAAACAAAAACUGACUCCCGGGCGUAUUUUUUUCGGCCUUUAUGGGCAGAGAACUUUAAUACCGCUCAAAUGAGGCCACCCAGUAGUUAGGUGUGAAUUUUCGAGACCUUCGGCACCGUUCUAAGAUGGGUCCUCUCUUCGUAGGCUAAUGCAUUGGCCCUUUUUGACCCGUUUUGGGGCGAAAACAAAAACUGACUCCCGGGCGUAUUUUUUUCGGCCUUUAUGGGCAGAGAACUUUAAUACCGCUCAAAAUGAGGCCACCCAGUAGUUAGGUGUGAAUUUUCGAGACCUUCGGCACCGUUCUAAGAUGGGUCCUCUCUUCGUAGGCUAAUGCAUUGGCCCUUUUUGACCCGUUUUGGGGCGAAAACAAAAACUGACUCCCGGGCGUAUUUUUUUCGGCCUUUAUGGGCAGAGAACUUUAAUACCGCUCAAAAUGAGGCCACCCAGUAGUUAGGUGUGAAUUUUCGAGACCUUCGGCACCGUUCUAAGAUGGGUCCUCUCUUCGUAGGCUAAUGCAUUGGCCCUUUUUGACCCGUUUUGGGGCGAAAACAAAAACUGACUCCCGGGCGUAUUUUUUUCGGCCUUUAUGGGCAGAGAACUUUAAUACCGCUCAAAAUGAGGCCACCCAGUAGUUAGGUGUGAAUUUUCGAGACCUUCGGCACCGUUCUAAGAUGGGUCCUCUCUUCGUAGGCUAAUGCAUUGGCCUUUUUGACCCGUUUUGGGGCGAAAACAAAAACUGACUCCCGGGCGUAUUUUUUUCGGCCUUUAUGGGCAGAGAACUUUAAUACCCAAAAUGAGGCCACCCAGUAGUUAGGUGUGAAUUUUCGAGACCUUCGGCACCGUUCUAAGAUGGGUCCUCUCUUCGUAGGCUAAUGCAUUGGCCCUUUUUGACCCGUUUUGGGGCGAAAACAAAAACUGACUCCGGGCGUAUUUUUUUCGGCCUUUAUGGGCAGAGAACUUUAAUACCGCUCAAAAUGAGGCCACCCAGUAGUUAGGUGUGAAUUUUCGAGACCUUCGGCACCGUUCUAAGAUGGGUCCUCUCUUCGUAGGCUAAUGCAUUGGCCCUUUUUGACCCGUUUUGGGGCGAAAACAAAAACUGACUCCCGGGCGUAUUUUUUUCGGCCUUUAUGGGCAGAGAACUUUAAUACCGCUCAAAAUGAGGCCACCCAGUAGUUAGGUGUGAAUUUUCGAGACCUUCGGCACCGUUCUAAGAUGGGUCCUCUCUUCGUAGGCUAAUGCAUUGGCCCUUUUUGACCCGUUUUGGGGCGAAAACAAAAACUGACUCCCGGGCGUAUUUUUUUCGGCCUUUAUGGGCAGAGAACUUUAAUACCGCUCAAAAUGAGGCCACCCAGUAGUUAGGUGUGAAUUUUCGAGACCUUCGGCACCGUUCUAAGAUGGGUCCUCUCUUCGUAGGCUAAUGCAUUGGCCCUUUUUGACCCGUUUUGGGCGAAAACAAAAACUGACUCCCGGGCGUAUUUUUUUCGGCCUUUAUGGGCAGAGAACUUUAAUACCGCUCAAAAUGAGGCCACCCAGUAGUUAGGUGUGAAUUUUCGAGACCUUCGGCACCGUUCUAAGAUGGGUCCUCUCUUCGUAGGCUAAUGCAUUGGCCCUUUUUGACCCGUUUUGGGGCGAAAACAAAAACUGACUCCCGGGCGUAUUUUUUUCGGCCUUUAUGGGCAGAGAACUUUAAUACCGCUCAAAAUGAGGCCACCCAGUAGUUAGGUGUGAAUUUUCGAGACCUUCGGCACCGUUCUAAGAUGGGUCCUCUCUUCGUAGGCUAAUGCAUUGGCCCUUUUUGACCCGUUUUGGGGCGAAAACAAAAACUGACUCCCGGGCGUAUUUUUUUCGGCCUUUAUGGGCAGAGAACUUUAAUACCGCUCAAAAUGAGGCCACCCAGUAGUUAGGUGUGAAUUUUCGAGACCUUCGGCACCGUUCUAAGAUGGGUCCUCUCUUCGUAGGCUAAUGCAUUGGCCCUUUUUGACCCGUUUUGGGCGAAAACAAAAACUGACUCCGGGCGUAUUUUUUUCGGCCUUUAUGGGCAGAGAACUUUAAUACCGCUCAAAAUGAGGCCACCCAGUAGUUAGGUGUGAAUUUUCGAGACCUUUGGCACCGUUCUAAGAUGGGUCCUCUCUUCGUAGGCUAAUGCAUUGGCCCUUUUUGGGGCGAAAACAAAAACUGACUCCCGGCGUAUUUUUUUCGGCCUUUAUGGGCAGAGAACUUUAAUACCGCUCAAAAUGAGGCCACCCAGUAGUUAGGUGUGAAUUUUCGAGACCUUCGGCACCGUUCUAAGAUGGGUCCUCUCUUCGUAGGCUAAUGCAUUGGCCCUUUUUGACCCGUUUUGGGGCGAAAACAAAAACUGACUCCCGGGCGUAUUUUUUUCGGCCUUUAUGGGCAGAGAACUUUAAUACCGCUCAAAAUGAGGCCACCCAGUAGUUAGGUGUGAAUUUUCGAGACCUUCGGCACCGUUCUAAGAUGGGUCCUCUCUUCGUAGGCUAAUGCAUUGGCCCUGUUUUGGGACCUUAGGUGUGAAUUUUCGAGACCUUGGCACCGUUCUAAGAUGGGUCCUCUCUUCGUAGGCUAAUGCAUUGGCCCUUUUUGACCCGUUUUGGGGCGAAAACAAAAACUGACUCCCGGGCGUAUUUUUUUCGGCCUUUAUGGGCAGAGAACUUUAAUACCGCUCAAAUGAGGCCACCCAGUAGUUAGGUGUGAAUUUUCGAGACCUUUGGCACCGUUCUAAGAUGGGUCCUCUCUUCGUAGGCUAAUGCAUUGGCCCUUUUUGACCCGUUUUGGGGCGAAAACAAAAACUGACUCCCGGGCGUAUUUUUUUCGGCCUUUAUGGGCAGAGAACUUUAAUACCGCUCAAAAUGAGGCCACCCAGUAGUUAGGUGUGAAUUUUCGAGACCUUGGCACCGUUCUAAGAUGGGUCCUCUCUUCGUAGGCUAAUGCAUUGGCCCUUUUUGACCCGUUUUGGGGCGAAAACAAAAACUGACUCCCGGGCAUAUUUUUUUCGGCCUUUAUGGGCAGAGAACUUUAAUACCGCUCAAAAUGAGGCCACCCAGUAGUUAGGUGUGAAUUUUCGAGACCUUUGGCACCGUUCUAAGAUGGGUCCUCUCUUCGUAGGCUAAUGCAUUGGCCCUUUUUGACCCGUUUUGGGGCGAAAACAAAAACUGACUCCCGGGCAUAUUUUUUUCGGCCUUUAUGGGCAGAGAACUUUAAUACCGCUCAAAAUGAGGCCACCCAGUAGUUAGGUGUGAAUUUUCGAGACCUUUGGCACCGUUCUAAGAUGGGUCCUCUCUUCGUAGGCUAAUGCAUUGGCCCUUUUUGACCCGUUUUGGGGCGAAAACAAAAACUGACUCCCGGGCAUAUUUUUUUCGGCCUUUAUGGGCAGAGAACUUUAAUACCGCUCAAAAUGAGGCCACCCAGUAGUUAGGUGUGAAUUUUCGAGACCUUUGGCACCGUUCUAAGAUGGGUCCUCUCUUCGUAGGCUAAUGCAUUGGCCCUUUUUGACCCGUUUUGGGGCGAAAACAAAAACUGACUCCCGGGCAUAUUUUUUUCGGCCUUUAUGGGCAGAGAACUUUAAUACCGCUCAAAAUGAGGCCACCCAGUAGUUAGGUGUGAAUUUUCGAGACCUUUGGCACCGUUCUAAGAUGGGUCCUCUCUUCGUAGGCUAAUGCAUUGGCCCUUUUUGACCCGUUUUGGGGCGAAAACAAAAACUGACUCCCGGGCAUAUUUUUUUCGGCCUUUAUGGGCAGAGAACUUUAAUACCGCUCAAAAUGAGGCCACCCAGUAGUUAGGUGUGAAUUUUCGAGACCUUUGGCACCGUUCUAAGAUGGGUCCUCUCUUCGUAGGCUAAUGCAUUGGCCCUUUUUGACCCGUUUUGGGGCGAAAACAAAAACUGACUCCCGGGCAUAUUUUUUUCGGCCUUUAUGGGCAGAGAACUUUAAUACCGCUCAAAAUGAGGCCACCCAGUAGUUAGGUGUGAAUUUUCGAGACCUUUGGCACCGUUCUAAGAUGGGUCCUCUCUUCGUAGGCUAAUGCAUUGGCCCUUUUUGACCCGUUUUGGGGCGAAAACAAAAACUGACUCCCGGGCAUAUUUUUUUCGGCCUUUAUGGGCAGAGAACUUUAAUACCGCUCAAAAUGAGGCCACCCAGUAGUUAGGUGUGAAUUUUCGAGACCUUUGGCACCGUUCUAAGAUGGGUCCUCUCUUCGUAGGCUAAUGCAUUGGCCCUUUUUGACCCGUUUUGGGGCGAAAACAAAAACUGACUCCCGGGCAUAUUUUUUUCGGCCUUUAUGGGCAGAGAACUUUAAUACCGCUCAAAAUGAGGCCACCCAGUAGUUAGGUGUGAAUUUUCGAGACCUUUGGCACCGUUCUAAGAUGGGUCCUCUCUUCGUAGGCUAAUGCAUUGGCCCUUUUUGACCCGUUUUGGGGCGAAAACAAAAACUGACUCCCGGGCAUAUUUUUUUCGGCCUUUAUGGGCAGAGAACUUUAAUACCGCUCAAAAUGAGGCCACCCAGUAGUUAGGUGUGAAUUUUCGAGACCUUUGGCACCGUUCUAAGAUGGGUCCUCUCUUCGUAGGCUAAUGCAUUGGCCCUUUUUGACCCGUUUUGGGGCGAAAACAAAAACUGACUCCCGGGCAUAUUUUUUUCGGCCUUUAUGGGCAGAGAACUUUAAUACCGCUCAAAAUGAGGCCACCCAGUAGUUAGGUGUGAAUUUUCGAGACCUUUGGCACCGUUCUAAGAUGGGUCCUCUCUUCGUAGGCUAAUGCAUUGGCCCUUUUUGACCCGUUUUGGGGCGAAAACAAAAACUGACUCCCGGCAUAUUUUUUUCGGCCUUUAUGGGCAGAGAACUUUAAUACCGCUCGAAAUGAGGCCACCCAGUAGUUAGGUGUGAAUUUUCGAGACCUUUGGCACCGUUCUAAGAUGGGUCCUCUCUUCGUAGGCUAAUGCAUUGGCCCUUUUUGACCCGUUUUGGGGCGAAAACAAAAACUGACUCCCGGGCAUAUUUUUUUCGGCCUUUAUGGGCAGAGAACUUUAAUACCGCUCAAAAUGAGGCCACCCAGUAGUUAGGUGUGAAUUUUCGAGACCUUUGGCACCGUUCUAAGAUGGGUCCUCUCUUCGUAGGCUAAUGCAUUGGCCCUUUUUGACCCGUUUUGGGGCGAAAACAAAAACUGACUCCCGGGCAUAUUUUUUUCGGCCUUUAUGGGCAGAGAACUUUAAUACCGCUCAAAAUGAGGCCACCCAGUAGUUAGGUGUGAAUUUUCGAGACCUUUGGCACCGUUCUAAGAUGGGUCCUCUCUUCGUAGGCUAAUGCAUUGGCCCUUUUUGACCCGUUUUGGGGCGAAAACAAAAACUGACUCCCGGGCAUAUUUUUUUCGGCCUUUAUGGGCAGAGAACUUUAAUACCGCUCAAAAUGAGGCCACCCAGUAGUUAGGUGUGAAUUUUCGAGACCUUUGGCACCGUUCUAAGAUGGGUCCUCUCUUCGUAGGCUAAUGCAUUGGCCCUUUUUGACCCGUUUUGGGGCGAAAACAAAAACUGACUCCCGGGCAUAUUUUUUUCGGCCUUUAUGGGCAGAGAACUUUAAUACCGCUCGAAAUGAGGCCACCCAGUAGUUAGGUGUGAAUUUUCGAGACCUUUGGCACCGUUCUAAGAUGGGUCCUCUCUUCGUAGGCUAAUGCAUUGGCCCUUUUUGACCCGUUUUGGGGCGAAAACAAAAACUGACUCCCGGGCAUAUUUUUUUCGGCCUUUAUGGGCAGAGAACUUUAAUACCGCUCAAAAUGAGGCCACCCAGUAGUUAGGUGUGAAUUUUCGAGACCUUUGGCACCGUUCUAAGAUGGGUCCUCUCUUCGUAGGCUAAUGCAUUGGCCCUUUUUGACCCGUUUUGGGGCGAAAACAAAAACUGACUCCCGGGCAUAUUUUUUUCGGCCUUUAUGGGCAGAGAACUUUAAUGCCGCUCGGAAUGAGGCCACCCAGUAGUUAGGUGUGAAUUUUCGAGACCUUUGGCACCGUUCUAAGAUGGGUCCUCUCUUCGUAGGCUAAUGCAUUGGCCCUUUUUGACCCGUUUUGGGGCGAAAACAAAAACUGACUCCCGGGCAUAUUUUUUUUCGGCCUUUAUGGGCAGAGAACUUUAAUGCCGCUCGGAAUGAGGCCACCCAGUAGUUAGGUGUGAAUUUUCGAGACCUUUGGCACCGUUCUAAGAUGGGUCCUCUCUUCGUAGGCUAAUGCAUUGGCCCUUUUUGACCCGUUUUGGGGCGAAAACAAAAACUGACUCCCGGGCAUAUUUUUUUCGGCCUUUAUGGGCAGAGAACUUUAAUGCCGCUCAGAAUGAGGCCACCCAGUAGUUAGGUGUGAAUUUUCGAGACCUUUGGCACCGUUCUAAGAUGGGUCCUCUCUUCGUAGGCUAAUGCAUUGGCCCUUUUUGACCCGUUUUGGGGCGAAAACAAAAACUGACUCCCGGGCAUAUUUUUUUUCGGCCUUUAUGGGCAGAGAACUUUAAUGCCGCUCAGAAUGAGGCCACCCAGUAGUUAGGUGUGAAUUUUCGAGACCUUUGGCACCGUUCUAAGAUGGGUCCUCUCUUCGUAGGCUAAUGCAUUGGCCCUUUUUGACCCGUUUUGGGGCGAAAACAAAAACUGACUCCCGGGCAUAUUUUUUUCGGCCUUUAUGGGCAGAGAACUUUAAUGCCGCUCGGAAUGAGGCCACCCAGUAGUUAGGUGUGAAUUUUCGAGACCUUUGGCACCGUUCUAAGAUGGGUCCUCUCUUCGUAGGCUAAUGCAUUGGCCCUUUUUGACCCGUUUUGGGGCGAAAACAAAAACUGACUCCCGGGCAUAUUUUUUUCGGCCUUUAUGGGCAGAGAACUUUAAUGCCGCUCGGAAUGAGGCCACCCAGUAGUUAGGUGUGAAUUUUCGAGACCUUUGGCACCGUUCUAAGAUGGGUCCUCUCUUCGUAGGCUAAUGCAUUGGCCCUUUUUUGACCCGUUUUGGGGCGAAAACAAAAACUGACUCCCGGGCAUAUUUUUUUCGGCCUUUAUGGGCAGAGAACUUUAAUGCCGCUCAGAAUGAGGCCACCCAGUAGUUAGGUGUGAAUUUUCGAGACCUUUGGCACCGUUCUAAGAUGGGUCCUCUCUUCGUAGGCUAAUGCAUUGGCCCUUUUUGACCCGUUUUGGGGCGAAAACAAAAACUGACUCCCGGGCAUAUUUUUUUCGGCCUUUAUGGGCAGAGAACUUUAAUGCCGCUCAGAAUGAGGCCACCCAGUAGUUAGGUGUGAAUUUUCGAGACCUUUGGCACCGUUCUAAGAUGGGUCCUCUCUUCGUAGGCUAAUGCAUUGGCCCUUUUUGACCCGUUUUGGGGCGAAAACAAAAACUGACUCCCGGGCAUAUUUUUUUCGGCCUUUAUGGGCAGAGAACUUUAAUGCCGCUCAGAAUGAGGCCACCCAGUAGUUAGGUGUGAAUUUUCGAGACCUUUGGCACCGUUCUAAGAUGGGUCCUCUCUUCGUAGGCUAAUGCAUUGGCCCUUUUUGACCCGUUUUGGGGCGAAAACAAAAACUGACUCCCGGGCAUAUUUUUUUCGGCCUUUAUGGGCAGAGAACUUUAAUGCCGCUCAGAAUGAGGCCACCCAGUAGUUAGGUGUGAAUUUUCGAGACCUUUGGCACCGUUCUAAGAUGGGUCCUCUCUUCGUAGGCUAAUGCAUUGGCCCUUUUUGACCCGUUUUGGGGCGAAAACAAAAACUGACUCCCGGGCAUAUUUUUUUUCGGCCUUUAUGGGCAGAGAACUUUAAUGCCGCUCAGAAUGAGGCCACCCAGUAGUUAGGUGUGAAUUUUCGAGACCUUUGGCACCGUUCUAAGAUGGGUCCUCUCUUCGUAGGCUAAUGCAUUGGCCCUUUUUGACCCGUUUUGGGGCGAAAACAAAAACUGACUCCCGGGCAUAUUUUUUUCGGCCUUUAUGGGCAGAGAACUUUAAUGCCGCUCAGAAUGAGGCCACCCAGUAGUUAGGUGUGAAUUUUCGAGACCUCUGGCACCGUUCUAAGAUGGGUCCUCUCUUCGUAGGCUAAUGCAUUGGCCCUUUUUGACCCGUUUUGGGGCGAAAACAAAAACUGACUCCCGGGCAUAUUUUUUUCGGCCUUUAUGGGCAGAGAACUUUAAUGCCGCUCAGAAUGAGGCCACCCAGUAGUUAGGUGUGAAUUUUCGAGACCUCUGGCACCGUUCUAAGAUGGGUCCUCUCUUCGUAGGCUAAUGCAUUGGCCCUUUUUGACCCGUUUUGGGGCGAAAACAAAAACUGACUCCCGGGCAUAUUUUUUUCGGCCUUUAUGGGCAGAGAACUUUAAUGCCGCUCAGAAUGAGGCCACCCAGUAGUUAGGUGUGAAUUUUCGAGACCUCUGGCACCGUUCUAAGAUGGGUCCUCUCUUCGUAGGCUAAUGCAUUGGCCCUUUUUGACCCGUUUUGGGGCGAAAACAAAAACUGACUCCCGGGCAUAUUUUUUUCGGCCUUUAUGGGCAGAGAACUUUAAUGCCGCUCAGAAUGAGGCCACCCAGUAGUUAGGUGUGAAUUUUCGAGACCUCUGGCACCGUUCUAAGAUGGGUCCUCUCUUCGUAGGCUAAUGCAUUGGCCCUUUUUGACCCGUUUUGGGGCGAAAACAAAAACUGACUCCCGGGCAUAUUUUUUUCGGCCUUUAUGGGCAGAGAACUUUAAUGCCGCUCAGAAUGAGGCCACCCAGUAGUUAGGUGUGAAUUUUCGAGACCUCUGGCACCGUUCUAAGAUGGGUCCUCUCUUCGUAGGCUAAUGCAUUGGCCCUUUUUGACCCGUUUUGGGGCGAAAACAAAAACUGACUCCCGGGCAUAUUUUUUUCGGCCUUUAUGGGCAGAGAACUUUAAUGCCGCUCAGAAUGAGGCCACCCAGUAGUUAGGUGUGAAUUUUCGAGACCUCUGGCACCGUUCUAAGAUGGGUCCUCUCUUCGUAGGCUAAUGCAUUGGCCCUUUUUGACCCGUUUUGGGGCGAAAACAAAAACUGACUCCCGGGCAUAUUUUUUUCGGCCUUUAUGGGCAGAGAACUUUAAUGCCGCUCAGAAUGAGGCCACCCAGUAGUUAGGUGUGAAUUUUCGAGACCUCUGGCACCGUUCUAAGAUGGGUCCUCUCUUCGUAGGCUAAUGCAUUGGCCCUUUUUGACCCGUUUUGGGGCGAAAACAAAAACUGACUCCCGGGCAUAUUUUUUUCGGCCUUUAUGGGCAGAGAACUUUAAUGCCGCUCAGAAUGAGGCCACCCAGUAGUUAGGUGUGAAUUUUCGAGACCUCUGGCACCGUUCUAAGAUGGGUCCUCUCUUCGUAGGCUAAUGCAUUGGCCCUUUUUGACCCGUUUUGGGGCGAAAACAAAAACUGACUCCCGGGCAUAUUUUUUUCGGCCUUUAUGGGCAGAGAACUUUAAUGCCGCUCAGAAUGAGGCCACCCAGUAGUUAGGUGUGAAUUUUCGAGACCUCUGGCACCGUUCUAAGAUGGGUCCUCUCUUCGUAGGCUAAUGCAUUGGCCCUUUUUGACCCGUUUUGGGGCGAAAACAAAAACUGACUCCCGGGCAUAUUUUUUUCGGCCUUUUAUGGGCAGAGAACUUUAAUGCCGCUCAGAAUGAGGCCACCCAGUAGUUAGGUGUGAAUUUUCGAGACCUCUGGCACCGUUCUAAGAUGGGUCCUCUCUUCGUAGGCUAAUGCAUUGGCCCUUUUUGACCCGUUUUGGGGCGAAAACAAAAACUGACUCCCGGGCAUAUUUUUUUCGGCCUUUAUGGGCAGAGAACUUUAAUGCCGCUCAGAAUGAGGCCACCCAGUAGUUAGGUGUGAAUUUUCGAGACCUCUGGCACCGUUCUAAGAUGGGUCCUCUCUUCGUAGGCUAAUGCAUUGGCCCUUUUUGACCCGUUUUGGGGCGAAAACAAAAACUGACUCCCGGGCAUAUUUUUUUCGGCCUUUAUGGGCAGAGAACUUUAAUGCCGCUCAGAAUGAGGCCACCCAGUAGUUAGGUGUGAAUUUUCGAGACCUCUGGCACCGUUCUAAGAUGGGUCCUCUCUUCGUAGGCUAAUGCAUUGGCCCUUUUUGACCCGUUUUGGGGCGAAAACAAAAACUGACUCCCGGGCAUAUUUUUUUCGGCCUUUAUGGGCAGAGAACUUUAAUGCCGCUCAGAAUGAGGCCACCCAGUAGUUAGGUGUGAAUUUUCGAGACCUCUGGCACCGUUCUAAGAUGGGUCCUCUCUUCGUAGGCUAAUGCAUUGGCCCUUUUUGACCCGUUUUGGGGCGAAAACAAAAACUGACUCCCGGGCAUAUUUUUUUCGGCCUUUAUGGGCAGAGAACUUUAAUGCCGCUCAGAAUGAGGCCACCCAGUAGUUAGGUGUGAAUUUUCGAGACCUCUGGCACCGUUCUAAGAUGGGUCCUCUCUUCGUAGGCUAAUGCAUUGGCCCUUUUUGACCCGUUUUGGGGCGAAAAAAAAAAACUGACUCCCGGGCAUAUUUUUUUCGGCCUUUAUGGGCAGAGAACUUUAAUGCCGCUCAGAAUGAGGCCACCCAGUAGUUAGGUGUGAAUUUUCGAGACCUCUGGCACCGUUCUAAGAUGGGUCCUCUCUUCGUAGGCUAAUGCAUUGGCCCUUUUUGACCCGUUUUGGGGCGAAAACAAAAACUGACUCCCGGGCAUAUUUUUUUCGGCCUUUAUGGGCAGAGAACUUUAAUGCCGCUCAGAAUGAGGCCACCCAGUAGUUAGGUGUGAAUUUUCGAGACCUCUGGCACCGUUCUAAGAUGGGUCCUCUCUUCGUAGGCUAAUGCAUUGGCCCUUUUUGACCCGUUUUGGGGCGAAAACAAAAACUGACUCCCGGGCAUAUUUUUUUCGGCCUUUAUGGGCAGAGAACUUUAAUGCCGCUCAGAAUGAGGCCACCCAGUAGUUAGGUGUGAAUUUUCGAGACCUCUGGCACCGUUCUAAGAUGGGUCCUCUCUUCGUAGGCUAAUGCAUUGGCCCUUUUUGACCCGUUUUGGGGCGAAAACAAAAACUGACUCCCGGGCAUAUUUUUUUCGGCCUUUAUGGGCAGAGAACUUUAAUGCCGCUCAGAAUGAGGCCACCCAGUAGUUAGGUGUGAAUUUUCGAGACCUCUGGCACCGUUCUAAGAUGGGUCCUCUCUUCGUAGGCUAAUGCAUUGGCCCUUUUUGACCCGUUUUGGGGCGAAAACAAAAACUGACUCCCGGGCAUAUUUUUUUCGGCCUUUAUGGGCAGAGAACUUUAAUGCCGCUCAGAAUGAGGCCACCCAGUAGUUAGGUGUGAAUUUUCGAGACCUCUGGCACCGUUCUAAGAUGGGUCCUCUCUUCGUAGGCUAAUGCAUUGGCCCUUUUUGACCCGUUUUGGGGCGAAAACAAAAACUGACUCCCGGGCAUAUUUUUUUCGGCCUUUAUGGGCAGAGAACUUUAAUGCCGCUCAGAAUGAGGCCACCCAGUAGUUAGGUGUGAAUUUUCGAGACCUCUGGCACCGUUCUAAGAUGGGUCCUCUCUUCGUAGGCUAAUGCAUUGGCCCUUUUUGACCCGUUUUGGGGCGAAAACAAAAACUGACUCCCGGGCAUAUUUUUUUCGGCCUUUAUGGGCAGAGAACUUUAAUACCGCUCAGAAUGAGGCCACCCAGUAGUUAGGUGUGAAUUUUCGAGACCUCUGGCACCGUUCUAAGAUGGGUCCUCUCUUCGUAGGCUAAUGCAUUGGCCCUUUUUGACCCGUUUUGGGGCGAAAACAAAAACUGACUCCCGGGCAUAUUUUUUUCGGCCUUUAUGGGCAGAGAACUUUAAUGCCGCUCAGAAUGAGGCCACCCAGUAGUUAGGUGUGAAUUUUCGAGACCUCUGGCACCGUUCUAAGAUGGGUCCUCUCUUCGUAGGCUAAUGCAUUGGCCCUUUUUGACCCGUUUUGGGGCGAAAACAAAAACUGACUCCCGGGCAUAUUUUUUUCGGCCUUUAUGGGCAGAGAACUUUAAUACCGCUCAGAAUGAGGCCACCCAGUAGUUAGGUGUGAAUUUUCGAGACCUCUGGCACCGUUCUAAGAUGGGUCCUCUCUUCGUAGGCUAAUGCAUUGGCCCUUUUUGACCCGUUUUGGGGCGAAAACAAAAACUGACUCCCGGGCAUAUUUUUUUCGGCCUUUAUGGGCAGAGAACUUUAAUACCGCUCAGAAUGAGGCCACCCAGUAGUUAGGUGUGAAUUUUCGAGACCUCUGGCACCGUUCUAAGAUGGGUCCUCUCUUCGUAGGCUAAUGCAUUGGCCCUUUUUGACCCGUUUUGGGGCGAAAACAAAAACUGACUCCCGGGCAUAUUUUUUUCGGCCUUUAUGGGCAGAGAACUUUAAUACCGCUCAGAAUGAGGCCACCCAGUAGUUAGGUGUGAAUUUUCGAGACCUCUGGCACCGUUCUAAGAUGGGUCCUCUCUUCGUAGGCUAAUGCAUUGGCCCUUUUUGACCCGUUUUGGGGCGAAAACAAAAACUGACUCCCGGGCAUAUUUUUUUCGGCCUUUAUGGGCAGAGAACUUUAAUACCGCUCAGAAUGAGGCCACCCAGUAGUUAGGUGUGAAUUUUCGAGACCUCUGGCACCGUUCUAAGAUGGGUCCUCUCUUCGUAGGCUAAUGCAUUGGCCCUUUUUGACCCGUUUUGGGGCGAAAACAAAAACUGACUCCCGGGCAUAUUUUUUUCGGCCUUUAUGGGCAGAGAACUUUAAUGCCGCUCAGAAUGAGGCCACCCAGUAGUUAGGUGUGAAUUUUCGAGACCUCUGGCACCGUUCUAAGAUGGGUCCUCUCUUCGUAGGCUAAUGCAUUGGCCCUUUUUGACCCGUUUUGGGGCGAAAACAAAAACUGACUCCCGGGCAUAUUUUUUUCGGCCUUUAUGGGCAGAGAACUUUAAUACCGCUCAGAAUGAGGCCACCCAGUAGUUAGGUGUGAAUUUUCGAGACCUCUGGCACCGUUCUAAGAUGGGUCCUCUCUUCGUAGGCUAAUGCAUUGGCCCUUUUUGACCCGUUUUGGGGCGAAAACAAAAACUGACUCCCGGGCAUAUUUUUUUCGGCCUUUAUGGGCAGAGAACUUUAAUGCCGCUCAGAAUGAGGCCACCCAGUAGUUAGGUGUGAAUUUUCGAGACCUCUGGCACCGUUCUAAGAUGGGUCCUCUCUUCGUAGGCUAAUGCAUUGGCCCUUUUUGACCCGUUUUGGGGCGAAAACAAAAACUGACUCCCGGGCAUAUUUUUUUCGGCCUUUAUGGGCAGAGAACUUUAAUGCCGCUCAGAAUGAGGCCACCCAGUAGUUAGGUGUGAAUUUUCGAGACCUCUGGCACCGUUCUAAGAUGGGUCCUCUCUUCGUAGGCUAAUGCAUUGGCCCUUUUUGACCCGUUUUGGGGCGAAAACAAAAACUGACUCCCGGGCAUAUUUUUUUCGGCCUUUAUGGGCAGAGAACUUUAAUACCGCUCAGAAUGAGGCCACCCAGUAGUUAGGUGUGAAUUUUCGAGACCUCUGGCACCGUUCUAAGAUGGGUCCUCUCUUCGUAGGCUAAUGCAUUGGCCCUUUUUGACCCGUUUUGGGGCGAAAACAAAAACUGACUCCCGGGCAUAUUUUUUUCGGCCUUUAUGGGCAGAGAACUUUAAUGCCGCUCAGAAUGAGGCCACCCAGUAGUUAGGUGUGAAUUUUCGAGACCUCUGGCACCGUUCUAAGAUGGGUCCUCUCUUCGUAGGCUAAUGCAUUGGCCCUUUUUGACCCGUUUUGGGGCGAAAACAAAAACUGACUCCCGGGCAUAUUUUUUUCGGCCUUUAUGGGCAGAGAACUUUAAUGCCGCUCAGAAUGAGGCCACCCAGUAGUUAGGUGUGAAUUUUCGAGACCUCUGGCACCGUUCUAAGAUGGGUCCUCUCUUCGUAGGCUAAUGCAUUGGCCCUUUUUGACCCGUUUUGGGGCGAAAACAAAAACUGACUCCCGGGCAUAUUUUUUUCGGCCUUUAUGGGCAGAGAACUUUAAUGCCGCUCAGAAUGAGGCCACCCAGUAGUUAGGUGUGAAUUUUCGAGACCUCUGGCACCGUUCUAAGAUGGGUCCUCUCUUCGUAGGCUAAUGCAUUGGCCCUUUUUGACCCGUUUUGGGGCGAAAACAAAAACUGACUCCCGGGCAUAUUUUUUUCGGCCUUUAUGGGCAGAGAACUUUAAUGCCGCUCAGAAUGAGGCCACCCAGUAGUUAGGUGUGAAUUUUCGAGACCUCUGGCACCGUUCUAAGAUGGGUCCUCUCUUCGUAGGCUAAUGCAUUGGCCCUUUUUGACCCGUUUUGGGGCGAAAACAAAAACUGACUCCCGGGCAUAUUUUUUUCGGCCUUUAUGGGCAGAGAACUUUAAUGCCGCUCAGAAUGAGGCCACCCAGUAGUUAGGUGUGAAUUUUCGAGACCUCUGGCACCGUUCUAAGAUGGGUCCUCUCUUCGUAGGCUAAUGCAUUGGCCCUUUUUGACCCGUUUUGGGGCGAAAACAAAAACUGACUCCCGGGCAUAUUUUUUUCGGCCUUUAUGGGCAGAGAACUUUAAUGCCGCUCAGAAUGAGGCCACCCAGUAGUUAGGUGUGAAUUUUCGAGACCUCUGGCACCGUUCUAAGAUGGGUCCUCUCUUCGUAGGCUAAUGCAUUGGCCCUUUUUGACCCGUUUUGGGGCGAAAACAAAAACUGACUCCCGGGCAUAUUUUUUUCGGCCUUUAUGGGCAGAGAACUUUAAUGCCGCUCAGAAUGAGGCCACCCAGUAGUUAGGUGUGAAUUUUCGAGACCUCUGGCACCGUUCUAAGAUGGGUCCUCUCUUCGUAGGCUAAUGCAUUGGCCCUUUUUGACCCGUUUUGGGGCGAAAACAAAAACUGACUCCCGGGCAUAUUUUUUUCGGCCUUUAUGGGCAGAGAACUUUAAUGCCGCUCAGAAUGAGGCCACCCAGUAGUUAGGUGUGAAUUUUCGAGACCUCUGGCACCGUUCUAAGAUGGGUCCUCUCUUCGUAGGCUAAUGCAUUGGCCCUUUUUGACCCGUUUUGGGGCGAAAACAAAAACUGACUCCCGGGCAUAUUUUUUUCGGCCUUUAUGGGCAGAGAACUUUAAUGCCGCUCAGAAUGAGGCCACCCAGUAGUUAGGUGUGAAUUUUCGAGACCUCUGGCACCGUUCUAAGAUGGGUCCUCUCUUCGUAGGCUAAUGCAUUGGCCCUUUUUGACCCGUUUUGGGGCGAAAACAAAAACUGACUCCCGGGCAUAUUUUUUUCGGCCUUUAUGGGCAGAGAACUUUAAUGCCGCUCAGAAUGAGGCCACCCAGUAGUUAGGUGUGAAUUUUCGAGACCUCUGGCACCGUUCUAAGAUGGGUCCUCUCUUCGUAGGCUAAUGCAUUGGCCCUUUUUGACCCGUUUUGGGGCGAAAACAAAAACUGACUCCCGGGCAUAUUUUUUUCGGCCUUUAUGGGCAGAGAACUUUAAUGCCGCUCAGAAUGAGGCCACCCAGUAGUUAGGUGUGAAUUUUCGAGACCUCUGGCACCGUUCUAAGAUGGGUCCUCUCUUCGUAGGCUAAUGCAUUGGCCCUUUUUGACCCGUUUUGGGGCGAAAACAAAAACUGACUCCCGGGCAUAUUUUUUUCGGCCUUUAUGGGCAGAGAACUUUAAUACCGCUCAGAAUGAGGCCACCCAGUAGUUAGGUGUGAAUUUUCGAGACCUCUGGCACCGUUCUAAGAUGGGUCCUCUCUUCGUAGGCUAAUGCAUUGGCCCUUUUUGACCCGUUUUGGGGCGAAAACAAAAACUGACUCCCGGGCAUAUUUUUUUCGGCCUUUAUGGGCAGAGAACUUUAAUGCCGCUCAGAAUGAGGCCACCCAGUAGUUAGGUGUGAAUUUUCGAGACCUCUGGCACCGUUCUAAGAUGGGUCCUCUCUUCGUAGGCUAAUGCAUUGGCCCUUUUUGACCCGUUUUGGGGCGAAAACAAAAACUGACUCCCGGGCAUAUUUUUUUCGGCCUUUAUGGGCAGAGAACUUUAAUACCGCUCAGAAUGAGGCCACCCAGUAGUUAGGUGUGAAUUUUCGAGACCUCUGGCACCGUUCUAAGAUGGGUCCUCUCUUCGUAGGCUAAUGCAUUGGCCCUUUUUGACCCGUUUUGGGGCGAAAACAAAAACUGACUCCCGGGCAUAUUUUUUUCGGCCUUUAUGGGCAGAGAACUUUAAUGCCGCUCAGAAUGAGGCCACCCAGUAGUUAGGUGUGAAUUUUCGAGACCUCUGGCACCGUUCUAAGAUGGGUCCUCUCUUCGUAGGCUAAUGCAUUGGCCCUUUUUGACCCGUUUUGGGGCGAAAACAAAAACUGACUCCCGGGCAUAUUUUUUUCGGCCUUUAUGGGCAGAGAACUUUAAUGCCGCUCAGAAUGAGGCCACCCAGUAGUUAGGUGUGAAUUUUCGAGACCUCUGGCACCGUUCUAAGAUGGGUCCUCUCUUCGUAGGGCUAAUGCAUUGGCCCUUUUUGACCCGUUUUGGGGCGAAAACAAAAACUGACUCCCGGGCAUAUUUUUUUCGGCCUUUAUGGGCAGAGAACUUUAAUACCGCUCAGAAUGAGGCCACCCAGUAGUUAGGUGUGAAUUUUCGAGACCUCUGGCACCGUUCUAAGAUGGGUCCUCUCUUCGUAGGCUAAUGCAUUGGCCCUUUUUGACCCGUUUUGGGGCGAAAACAAAAACUGACUCCCGGGCAUAUUUUUUUCGGCCUUUAUGGGCAGAGAACUUUAAUGCCGCUCAGAAUGAGGCCACCCAGUAGUUAGGUGUGAAUUUUCGAGACCUCUGGCACCGUUCUAAGAUGGGUCCUCUCUUCGUAGGCUAAUGCAUUGGCCCUUUUUGACCCGUUUUGGGGCGAAAACCAAAAACUGACUCCCGGGCAUAUUUUUUUCGGCCUUUAUGGGCAGAGAACUUUAAUACCGCUCAGAAUGAGGCCACCACCCAGUAGUUAGGUGUGAAUUUUCGAGACCUCUGGCACCGUUCUAAGAUGGGUCCUCUCUUCGUAGGCUAAUGCAUUGGCCCUUUUUGACCCGUUUUGGGGCGAAAACAAAAACUGACUCCCGGGCAUAUUUUUUUCGGCCUUUAUGGGCAGAGAAACUUUAAUGCCGCUCAGAAUGAGGCCACCCAGUAGUUAGGUGUGAAUUUUCGAGACCUCUGGCACCGUUCUAAGAUGGGUCCUCUCUUCGUAGGCUAAUGCAUUGGCCCUUUUUGACCCGUUUUGGGGCGAAAACAAAAACUGACUCCCGGGCAUAUUUUUUUCGGCCUUUAUGGGCAGAGAACUUUAAUACCGCUCAGAAUGAGGCCACCCAGUAGUUAGGUGUGAAUUUUCGAGACCUCUGGCACCGUUCUAAGAUGGGUCCUCUCUUCGUAGGCUAAUGCAUUGGCCCUUUUUGACCCGUUUUGGGGCGAAAACAAAAACUGACUCCCGGGCAUAUUUUUUUCGGCCUUUAUGGGCAAAGAACUUUAAUGCCGCUCAGAAUGAGGCCACCCAGUAGUUAGGUGUGAAUUUUCGAGACCUCUGGCACCGUUCUAAGAUGGGUCCUCUCUUCGUAGGCUAAUGCAUUGGCCCUUUUUGACCCGUUUUGGGGCGAAAAACAAAAACUGACUCCCGGGCAUAUUUUUUUCGGCCUUUAUGGGCAAAGAACUUUAAUGCCGCUCAGAAUGAGGCCACCCAGUAGUUAGGUGUGAAUUUUCGAGACCUCUGGCACCGUUCUAAGAUGGGUCCUCUCUUCGUAGGCUAAUGCAUUGGCCCUUUUUGACCCGUUUUGGGGCGAAAACAAAAAACUGACUCCCGGGCAUAUUUUUUUCGGCCUUUAUGGGCAGAGAACUUUAAUGCCGCUCAGAAUGAGGCCACCCAGUAGUUAGGUGUGAAUUUUCGAGACCUCUGGCACCGUUCUAAGAUGGGUCCUCUCUUCGUAGGCUAAUGCAUUGGCCCUUUUUGACCCGUUUUGGGGCGAAAACAAAAACUGACUCCCGGGCAUAUUUUUUUCGGCCUUUAUGGGCAGAGAACUUUAAUACCGCUCAGAAUGAGGCCACCCAGUAGUUAGGUGUGAAUUUUCGAGACCUCUGGCACCGUUCUAAGAUGGGUCCUCUCUUCGUAGGCUAAUGCAUUGGCCCUUUUUGACCCGUUUUGGGGCGAAAACAAAAACUGACUCCCGGGCAUAUUUUUUUCGGCCUUUAUGGGCAGAGAACUUUAAUACCGCUCAGAAUGAGGCCACCCAGUAGUUAGGUGUGAAUUUUCGAGACCCUCUGGCACCGUUCUAAGAUGGGUCCUCUCUUCGUAGGCUAAUGCAUUGGCCCUUUUUGACCCGUUUUGGGGCGAAAACAAAAACUGACUCCCGGGCAUAUUUUUUUCGGCCUUUAUGGGCAGAGAACUUUAAUACCGCUCAGAAUGAGGCCACCCAGUAGUUAGGUGUGAAUUUUCGAGACCUCUUGGCACCGUUCUAAGAUGGGUCCUCUCUUCGUAGGCUAAUGCAUUGGCCCUUUUUGACCCGUUUUGGGGCGAAAACAAAAACUGACUCCCGGGCAUAUUUUUUUCGGCCUUUAUGGGCAGAGAACUUUAAUGCCGCUCAGAAUGAGGCCACCCAGUAGUUAGGUGUGAAUUUUCGAGACCUCUGGCACCGUUCUAAGAUGGGUCCUCUCUUCGUAGGCUAAUGCAUUGGCCCUUUUUGACCCGUUUUGGGGCGAAAACAAAAACUGACUCCCGGGCAUAUUUUUUUCGGCCUUUAUGGGCAGAGAACUUUAAUACCGCUCAAAAAUGAGGCCACCCAGUAGUUAGGUGUGAAUUUUCGAGACCUCUGGCACCGUUCUAAGAUGGGUCCUCUCUUCGUAGGCUAAUGCAUUGGCCCUUUUUGACCCGUUUUGGGGCGAAAACAAAAACUGACUCCCGGGCAUAUUUUUUUCGGCCUUUAUGGGCAGAGAACUUUAAUACCGCUCAGAAUGAGGCCACCCAGUAGUUAGGUGUGAAUUUUCGAGACCUUUGGCACCGUUCUAAGAUGGGUCCUCUCUUCGUAGGCUAAUGCAUUGGCCCUUUUUGACCCGUUUUGGGGCGAAAACAAAAACUGACUCCCGGGCAUAUUUUUUUCGGCCUUUAUGGGCAGAGAACUUUAAUGCCGCUCAGAAUGAGGCCACCCAGUAGUUAGGUGUGAAUUUUCGAGACCUCUGGCACCGUUCUAAGAUGGGUCCUCUCUUCGUAGGCUAAUGCAUUGGCCCUUUUUGACCCGUUUUGGGGCGAAAACAAAAACUGACUCCCGGGCAUAUUUUUUUCGGCCUUUAUGGGCAGAGAACUUUAAUGCCGCUCAGAAUGAGGCCACCCAGUAGUUAGGUGUGAAUUUUCGAGACCUCUGGCACCGUUCUAAGAUGGGUCCUCUCUUCGUAGGCUAAUGCAUUGGCCCUUUUUGACCCGUUUUGGGGCGAAAACAAAAACUGACUCCCGGGCAUAUUUUUUUCGGCCUUUAUGGGCAGAGAACUUUAAUACCGCUCAGAAUGAGGCCACCCAGUAGUUAGGUGUGAAUUUUCGAGACCUCUGGCACCGUUCUAAGAUGGGUCCUCUCUUCGUAGGCUAAUGCAUUGGCCCUUUUUGACCCGUUUUGGGGCGAAAACAAAAACUGACUCCCGGGCAUAUUUUUUUCGGCCUUUAUGGGCAGAGAACUUUAAUACCGCUCAGAAUGAGGCCACCCAGUAGUUAGGUGUGAAUUUUCGAGACCUCUGGCACCGUUCUAAGAUGGGUCCUCUCUUCGUAGGCUAAUGCAUUGGCCCUUUUUGACCCGUUUUGGGGCGAAAACAAAAACUGACUCCCGGGCAUAUUUUUUUCGGCCUUUAUGGGCAGAGAACUUUAAUACCGCUCAGAAUGAGGCCACCCAGUAGUUAGGUGUGAAUUUUCGAGACCUUCUGGCACCGUUCUAAGAUGGGUCCUCUCUUCGUAGGCUAAUGCAUUGGCCCUUUUUGACCCGUUUUGGGGCGAAAACAAAAACUGACUCCCGGGCAUAUUUUUUUCGGCCUUUAUGGGCAGAGAACUUUAAUGCCGCUCAGAAUGAGGCCACCCAGUAGUUAGGUGUGAAUUUUCGAGACCUCUGGCACCGUUCUAAGAUGGGUCCUCUCUUCGUAGGCUAAUGCAUUGGCCCUUUUUGACCCGUUUUGGGGCGAAAACAAAAACUGACUCCCGGGCAUAUUUUUUUCGGCCUUUAUGGGCAGAGAACUUUAAUACCGCUCAGAAUGAGGCCACCCAGUAGUUAGGUGUGAAUUUUCGAGACCUCUGGCACCGUUCUAAGAUGGGUCCUCUCUUCGUAGGCUAAUGCAUUGGCCCUUUUUGACCCGUUUUGGGGCGAAAACAAAAACUGACUCCCGGGCAUAUUUUUUUCGGCCUUUAUGGGCAGAGAACUUUAAUACCGCUCAGAAUGAGGCCACCCAGUAGUUAGGUGUGAAUUUUCGAGACCUCUGGCACCGUUCUAAGAUGGGUCCUCUCUUCGUAGGCUAAUGCAUUGGCCCUUUUUGACCCGUUUUGGGGCGAAAACAAAAACUGACUCCCGGGCAUAUUUUUUUCGGCCUUUAUGGGCAGAGAACUUUAAUGCCGCUCAGAAUGAGGCCACCCAGUAGUUAGGUGUGAAUUUUCGAGACCUCUGGCACCGUUCUAAGAUGGGUCCUCUCUUCGUAGGCUAAUGCAUUGGCCCUUUUUGACCCGUUUUGGGGCGAAAACAAAAACUGACUCCCGGGCAUAUUUUUUUCGGCCUUUAUGGGCAGAGAACUUUAAUACCGCUCAGAAAUGAGGCCACCCAGUAGUUAGGUGUGAAUUUUCGAGACCUCUGGCACCGUUCUAAGAUGGGUCCUCUCUUCGUAGGCUAAUGCAUUGGCCCUUUUUGACCCGUUUUGGGGCGAAAACAAAAACUGACUCCCGGGCAUAUUUUUUUCGGCCUUUAUGGGCAGAGAACUUUAAUACCGCUCAGAAUGAGGCCACCCAGUAGUUAGGUGUGAAUUUUCGAGACCUCUCGGCACCGUUCUAAGAUGGGUCCUCUCUUCGUAGGCUAAUGCAUUGGCCCUUUUUGACCCGUUUUGGGGCGAAAACAAAAACUGACUCCCGGGCAUAUUUUUUUCGGCCUUUAUGGGCAGAGAACUUUAAUGCCGCUCAGAAAUGAGGCCACCCAGUAGUUAGGUGUGAAUUUUCGAGACCUCUGGCACCGUUCUAAGAUGGGUCCUCUCUUCGUAGGCUAAUGCAUUGGCCCUUUUUGACCCGUUUUGGGGCGAAAACAAAAACUGACUCCCGGGCAUAUUUUUUUCGGCCUUUAUGGGCAGAGAACUUUAAUACCGCUCAGAAUGAGGCCACCCAGUAGUUAGGUGUGAAUUUUCGAGACCUCUGGCACCGUUCUAAGAUGGGUCCUCUCUUCGUAGGCUAAUGCAUUGGCCCUUUUUGACCCGUUUUGGGGCGAAAACAAAAACUGACUCCCGGGCAUAUUUUUUUCGGCCUUUAUGGGCAGAGAACUUUAAUACCGCUCAGAAUGAGGCCACCCAGUAGUUAGGUGUGAAUUUUCGAGACCUCUUGGCACCGUUCUAAGAUGGGUCCUCUCUUCGUAGGCUAAUGCAUUGGCCCUUUUUGACCCGUUUUGGGGCGAAAACAAAAACUGACUCCCGGGCAUAUUUUUUUCGGCCUUUAUGGGCAGAGAACUUUAAUGCCGCUCAGAAUGAGGCCACCCAGUAGUUAGGUGUGAAUUUUCGAGACCUCUGGCACCGUUCUAAGAUGGGUCCUCUCUUCGUAGGCUAAUGCAUUGGCCCUUUUUGACCCGUUUUGGGGCGAAAACAAAAACUGACUCCCGGGCAUAUUUUUUUCGGCCUUUAUGGGCAGAGAACUUUAAUGCCGCUCAGAAUGAGGCCACCCAGUAGUUAGGUGUGAAUUUUCGAGACCUUUGGCACCGUUCUAAGAUGGGUCCUCUCUUCGUAGGCUAAUGCAUUGGCCCUUUUUGACCCGUUUUGGGGCGAAAACAAAAACUGACUCCCGGGCAUAUUUUUUUCGGCCUUUAUGGGCAGAGAACUUUAAUACCGCUCAGAAUGAGGCCACCCAGUAGUUAGGUGUGAAUUUUCGAGACCUCUGGCACCGUUCUAAGAUGGGUCCUCUCUUCGUAGGCUAAUGCAUUGGCCCUUUUUGACCCGUUUUGGGGCGAAAACAAAAACUGACUCCCGGGCAUAUUUUUUUCGGCCUUUAUGGGCAGAGAACUUUAAUGCCGCUCAGAAUGAGGCCACCCAGUAGUUAGGUGUGAAUUUUCGAGACCUCUGGCACCGUUCUAAGAUGGGUCCUCUCUUCGUAGGCUAAUGCAUUGGCCCUUUUUGACCCGUUUUGGGGCGAAAACAAAAACUGACUCCCGGGCAUAUUUUUUUCGGCCUUUAUGGGCAGAGAACUUUAAUACCGCUCAGAAUGAGGCCACCCAGUAGUUAGGUGUGAAUUUUCGAGACCUCUGGCACCGUUCUAAGAUGGGUCCUCUCUUCGUAGGCUAAUGCAUUGGCCCUUUUUGACCCGUUUUGGGGCGAAAACAAAAACUGACUCCCGGGCAUAUUUUUUUCGGCCUUUAUGGGCAGAGAACUCUUAAUAGCCGCUCAGAAAUGGCCAGGCCACCCAGUAGUUAGGUGUGAAUUUUCGAGACCUCUGGCACCGUUCUAAGAUGGGUCCUCUCUUCGUAGGCUAAUGCAUUGGCCCUUUUUGACCCGUUUUGGGGCGAAAACAAAAACUGACUCCCGGGCAUAUUUUUUUCGGCCUUUAUGGGCAGAGAACUUUAAUGCCGCUCAGAAUGAGGCCACCCAGUAGUUAGGUGUGAAUUUUCGAGACCUCUGGCACCGUUCUAAGAUGGGUCCUCUCUUCGUAGGCUAAUGCAUUGGCCCUUUUUGACCCGUUUUGGGGCGAAAACAAAAACUGACUCCCGGGCAUAUUUUUUUCGGCCUUUAUGGGCAGAGAACUUUAAUGCCGCUCAGAAUGAGGCCACCCAGUAGUUAGGUGUGAAUUUUCGAGACCUUUGGCACCGUUCUAAGAUGGGUCCUCUCUUCGUAGGCUAAUGCAUUGGCCCUUUUUGACCCGUUUUGGGGCGAAAACAAAAACUGACUCCCGGGCAUAUUUUUUUCGGCCUUUAUGGGCAGAGAACUUUAAUGCCGCUCAGAAUGAGGCCACCCAGUAGUUAGGUGUGAAUUUUCGAGACCUCUGGCACCGUUCUAAGAUGGGUCCUCUCUUCGUAGGCUAAUGCAUUGGCCCUUUUUGACCCGUUUUGGGGCGAAAACAAAAACUGACUCCCGGGCAUAUUUUUUUCGGCCUUUAUGGGCAGAGAACUUUAAUACCGCUCAGAAUGAGGCCACCCAGUAGUUAGGUGUGAAUUUUCGAGACCUUUGGCACCGUUCUAAGAUGGGUCCUCUCUUCGUAGGCUAAUGCAUUGGCCCUUUUUGACCCGUUUUGGGGCGAAAACAAAAACUGACUCCCGGGCAUAUUUUUUUCGGCCUUUAUGGGCAGAGAACUUUAAUACCGCUCAGAAUGAGGCCACCCAGUAGUUAGGUGUGAAUUUUCGAGACCUCUGGCACCGUUCUAAGAUGGGUCCUCUCUUCGUAGGCUAAUGCAUUGGCCCUUUUUGACCCGUUUUGGGGCGAAAACAAAAACUGACUCCCGGGCAUAUUUUUUUCGGCCUUUAUGGGCAGAGAACUUUAAUGCCGCUCAGAAUGAGGCCACCCAGUAGUUAGGUGUGAAUUUUCGAGACCUUUGGCCACCGUUCUAAGAUGGGUCCUCUCUUCGUAGGCUAAUGCAUUGGCCCUUUUUGACCCGUUUUGGGGCGAAAACAAAAACUGACUCCCGGGCAUAUUUUUUUCGGCCUUUAUGGGCAGAGAACUUUAAUACCGCUCAGAAUGAGGCCACCCAGUAGUUAGGUGUGAAUUUUCGAGACCUUUGGCACCGUUCUAAGAUGGGUCCUCUCUUCGUAGGCUAAUGCAUUGGCCCUUUUUGACCCGUUUUGGGGCGAAAACAAAAACUGACUCCCGGGCAUAUUUUUUUCGGCCUUUAUGGGCAGAGAACUUUAAUACCGCUCAGAAUGAGGCCACCCAGUAGUUAGGUGUGAAUUUUCGAGACCUUCUGGCACCGUUCUAAGAUGGGUCCUCUCUUCGUAGGCUAAUGCAUUGGCCCUUUUUGACCCGUUUUGGGGCGAAAACAAAAACUGACUCCCGGGCAUAUUUUUUUCGGCCUUUAUGGGCAGAGAACUUUAAUGCCGCUCAGAAUGAGGCCACCCAGUAGUUAGGUGUGAAUUUUCGAGACCUCUGGCACCGUUCUAAGAUGGGUCCUCUCUUCGUAGGCUAAUGCAUUGGCCCUUUUUGACCCGUUUUGGGGCGAAAACAAAAACUGACUCCCGGGCAUAUUUUUUUCGGCCUUUAUGGGCAGAGAACUUUAAUACCGCUCAGAAUGAGGCCACCCAGUAGUUAGGUGUGAAUUUUCGAGACCUUUGGCACCGUUCUAAGAUGGGUCCUCUCUUCGUAGGCUAAUGCAUUGGCCCUUUUUGACCCGUUUUGGGGCGAAAACAAAAACUGACUCCCGGGCAUAUUUUUUUCGGCCUUUAUGGGCAGAGAACUUUAAUGCCGCUCAGAAUGAGGCCACCCAGUAGUUAGGUGUGAAUUUUCGAGACCUUUGGCACCGUUCUAAGAUGGGUCCUCUCUUCGUAGGCUAAUGCAUUGGCCCUUUUUGACCCGUUUUGGGGCGAAAACAAAAACUGACUCCCGGGCAUAUUUUUUUCGGCCUUUAUGGGCAGAGAACUUUAAUACCGCUCAAAAUGAGGCCACCCAGUAGUUAGGUGUGAAUUUUCGAGACCUCUGGCACCGUUCUAAGAUGGGUCCUCUCUUCGUAGGCUAAUGCAUUGGCCCUUUUUGACCCGUUUUGGGGCGAAAACAAAAACUGACUCCCGGGCAUAUUUUUUUCGGCCUUUAUGGGCAGAGAACUUUAAUACCGCUCAAAAUGAGGCCACCCAGUAGUUAGGUGUGAAUUUUCGAGACCUUUGGCACCGUUCUAAGAUGGGUCCUCUCUUCGUAGGCUAAUGCAUUGGCCCUUUUUGACCCGUUUUGGGGCGAAAACAAAAACUGACUCCCGGGCAUAUUUUUUUCGGCCUUUAUGGGCAGAGAACUUUAAUGCCGCUCAGAAUGAGGCCACCCAGUAGUUAGGUGUGAAUUUUCGAGACCUUUGGCACCGUUCUAAGAUGGGUCCUCUCUUCGUAGGCUAAUGCAUUGGCCCUUUUUGACCCGUUUUGGGGCGAAAACAAAAACUGACUCCCGGGCAUAUUUUUUUCGGCCUUUAUGGGCAGAGAACUUUAAUACCGCUCAAAAUGAGGCCACCCAGUAGUUAGGUGUGAAUUUUCGAGACCUUUGGCACCGUUCUAAGAUGGGUCCUCUCUUCGUAGGCUAAUGCAUUGGCCCUUUUUGACCCGUUUUGGGGCGAAAACAAAAACUGACUCCCGGGCAUAUUUUUUUCGGCCUUUAUGGGCAGAGAACUUUAAUACCGCUCAAAAUGAGGCCACCCAGUAGUUAGGUGUGAAUUUUCGAGACCUUUGGCACCGUUCUAAGAUGGGUCCUCUCUUCGUAGGCUAAUGCAUUGGCCCUUUUUGACCCGUUUUGGGGCGAAAACAAAAACUGACUCCCGGGCAUAUUUUUUUCGGCCUUUAUGGGCAGAGAACUUUAAUACCGCUCAAAAUGAGGCCACCCAGUAGUUAGGUGUGAAUUUUCGAGACCUCUGGCACCGUUCUAAGAUGGGUCCUCUCUUCGUAGGCUAAUGCAUUGGCCCUUUUUGACCCGUUUUGGGGCGAAAACAAAAACUGACUCCCGGGCAUAUUUUUUUCGGCCUUUAUGGGCAGAGAACUUUAAUGCCGCUCAAAAUGAGGCCACCCAGUAGUUAGGUGUGAAUUUUCGAGACCUCUGGCACCGUUCUAAGAUGGGUCCUCUCUUCGUAGGCUAAUGCAUUGGCCCUUUUUGACCCGUUUUGGGGCGAAAACAAAAACUGACUCCCGGGCAUAUUUUUUUCGGCCUUUAUGGGCAGAGAACUUUAAUACCGCUCAGAAUGAGGCCACCCAGUAGUUAGGUGUGAAUUUUCGAGACCUUUGGCACCGUUCUAAGAUGGGUCCUCUCUUCGUAGGCUAAUGCAUUGGCCCUUUUUGACCCGUUUUGGGGCGAAAACAAAAACUGACUCCCGGGCAUAUUUUUUUCGGCCUUUAUGGGCAGAGAACUUUAAUACCGCUCAAAAUGAGGCCACCCAGUAGUUAGGUGUGAAUUUUCGAGACCUUUGGCACCGUUCUAAGAUGGGUCCUCUCUUCGUAGGCUAAUGCAUUGGCCCUUUUUGACCCGUUUUGGGGCGAAAACAAAAACUGACUCCCGGGCAUAUUUUUUUCGGCCUUUAUGGGCAGAGAACUUUAAUACCGCUCAAAAUGAGGCCACCCAGUAGUUAGGUGUGAAUUUUCGAGACCUUUGGCACCGUUCUAAGAUGGGUCCUCUCUUCGUAGGCUAAUGCAUUGGCCCUUUUUGACCCGUUUUGGGGCGAAAACAAAAACUGACUCCCGGGCAUAUUUUUUUCGGCCUUUAUGGGCAGAGAACUUUAAUACCGCUCAAAAUGAGGCCACCCAGUAGUUAGGUGUGAAUUUUCGAGACCUUUGGCACCGUUCUAAGAUGGGUCCUCUCUUCGUAGGCUAAUGCAUUGGCCCUUUUUGACCCGUUUUGGGGCGAAAACAAAAACUGACUCCCGGGCAUAUUUUUUUCGGCCUUUAUGGGCAGAGAACUUUAAUACCGCUCAAAAUGAGGCCACCCAGUAGUUAGGUGUGAAUUUUCGAGACCUUUGGCACCGUUCUAAGAUGGGUCCUCUCUUCGUAGGCUAAUGCAUUGGCCCUUUUUGACCCGUUUUGGGGCGAAAACAAAAACUGACUCCCGGGCAUAUUUUUUUCGGCCUUUAUGGGCAGAGAACUUUAAUACCGCUCAAAAUGAGGCCACCCAGUAGUUAGGUGUGAAUUUUCGAGACCUUUGGCACCGUUCUAAGAUGGGUCCUCUCUUCGUAGGCUAAUGCAUUGGCCCUUUUUGACCCGUUUUGGGGCGAAAACAAAAACUGACUCCCGGGCAUAUUUUUUUCGGCCUUUAUGGGCAGAGAACUUUAAUACCGCUCAAAAUGAGGCCACCCAGUAGUUAGGUGUGAAUUUUCGAGACCUUUGGCACCGUUCUAAGAUGGGUCCUCUCUUCGUAGGCUAAUGCAUUGGCCCUUUUUGACCCGUUUUGGGGCGAAAACAAAAACUGACUCCCGGGCAUAUUUUUUUCGGCCUUUAUGGGCAGAGAACUUUAAUACCGCUCAAAAUGAGGCCACCCAGUAGUUAGGUGUGAAUUUUCGAGACCUUUGGCACCGUUCUAAGAUGGGUCCUCUCUUCGUAGGCUAAUGCAUUGGCCCUUUUUGACCCGUUUUGGGGCGAAAACAAAAACUGACUCCCGGGCAUAUUUUUUUCGGCCUUUAUGGGCAGAGAACUUUAAUACCGCUCAAAAUGAGGCCACCCAGUAGUUAGGUGUGAAUUUUCGAGACCUUUGGCACCGUUCUAAGAUGGGUCCUCUCUUCGUAGGCUAAUGCAUUGGCCCUUUUUGACCCGUUUUGGGGCGAAAACAAAAACUGACUCCCGGGCAUAUUUUUUUCGGCCUUUAUGGGCAGAGAACUUUAAUACCGCUCAAAAUGAGGCCACCCAGUAGUUAGGUGUGAAUUUUCGAGACCUUUGGCACCGUUCUAAGAUGGGUCCUCUCUUCGUAGGCUAAUGCAUUGGCCCUUUUUGACCCGUUUUGGGGCGAAAACAAAAACUGACUCCCGGGCAUAUUUUUUUCGGCCUUUAUGGGCAGAGAACUUUAAUACCGCUCAAAAUGAGGCCACCCAGUAGUUAGGUGUGAAUUUUCGAGACCUUUGGCACCGUUCUAAGAUGGGUCCUCUCUUCGUAGGCUAAUGCAUUGGCCCUUUUUGACCCGUUUUGGGGCGAAAACAAAAACUGACUCCCGGGCAUAUUUUUUUCGGCCUUUAUGGGCAGAGAACUUUAAUACCGCUCAAAAUGAGGCCACCCAGUAGUUAGGUGUGAAUUUUCGAGACCUUUGGCACCGUUCUAAGAUGGGUCCUCUCUUCGUAGGCUAAUGCAUUGGCCCUUUUUGACCCGUUUUGGGGCGAAAACAAAAACUGACUCCCGGGCAUAUUUUUUUCGGCCUUUAUGGGCAGAGAACUUUAAUACCGCUCAAAAUGAGGCCACCCAGUAGUUAGGUGUGAAUUUUCGAGACCUUUGGCACCGUUCUAAGAUGGGUCCUCUCUUCGUAGGCUAAUGCAUUGGCCCUUUUUGACCCGUUUUGGGGCGAAAACAAAAACUGACUCCCGGGCAUAUUUUUUUCGGCCUUUAUGGGCAGAGAACUUUAAUACCGCUCAAAAUGAGGCCACCCAGUAGUUAGGUGUGAAUUUUCGAGACCUUUGGCACCGUUCUAAGAUGGGUCCUCUCUUCGUAGGCUAAUGCAUUGGCCCUUUUUGACCCGUUUUGGGGCGAAAACAAAAACUGACUCCCGGGCAUAUUUUUUUCGGCCUUUAUGGGCAGAGAACUUUAAUACCGCUCAAAAUGAGGCCACCCAGUAGUUAGGUGUGAAUUUUCGAGACCUUUGGCACCGUUCUAAGAUGGGUCCUCUCUUCGUAGGCUAAUGCAUUGGCCCUUUUUGACCCGUUUUGGGGCGAAAACAAAAACUGACUCCCGGGCAUAUUUUUUUCGGCCUUUAUGGGCAGAGAACUUUAAUACCGCUCAAAAUGAGGCCACCCAGUAGUUAGGUGUGAAUUUUCGAGACCUUUGGCACCGUUCUAAGAUGGGUCCUCUCUUCGUAGGCUAAUGCAUUGGCCCUUUUUGACCCGUUUUGGGGCGAAAACAAAAACUGACUCCCGGGCAUAUUUUUUUCGGCCUUUAUGGGCAGAGAACUUUAAUACCGCUCAAAAUGAGGCCACCCAGUAGUUAGGUGUGAAUUUUCGAGACCUUUGGCACCGUUCUAAGAUGGGUCCUCUCUUCGUAGGCUAAUGCAUUGGCCCUUUUUGACCCGUUUUGGGGCGAAAACAAAAACUGACUCCCGGGCAUAUUUUUUUCGGCCUUUAUGGGCAGAGAACUUUAAUACCGCUCAAAAUGAGGCCACCCAGUAGUUAGGUGUGAAUUUUCGAGACCUUUGGCACCGUUCUAAGAUGGGUCCUCUCUUCGUAGGCUAAUGCAUUGGCCCUUUUUGACCCGUUUUGGGGCGAAAACAAAAACUGACUCCCGGGCAUAUUUUUUUCGGCCUUUAUGGGCAGAGAACUUUAAUACCGCUCAAAAUGAGGCCACCCAGUAGUUAGGUGUGAAUUUUCGAGACCUUUGGCACCGUUCUAAGAUGGGUCCUCUCUUCGUAGGCUAAUGCAUUGGCCCUUUUUGACCCGUUUUGGGGCGAAAACAAAAACUGACUCCCGGGCAUAUUUUUUUCGGCCUUUAUGGGCAGAGAACUUUAAUACCGCUCAAAAUGAGGCCACCCAGUAGUUAGGUGUGAAUUUUCGAGACCUUUGGCACCGUUCUAAGAUGGGUCCUCUCUUCGUAGGCUAAUGCAUUGGCCCUUUUUGACCCGUUUUGGGGCGAAAACAAAAACUGACUCCCGGGCAUAUUUUUUUCGGCCUUUAUGGGCAGAGAACUUUAAUACCGCUCAAAAUGAGGCCACCCAGUAGUUAGGUGUGAAUUUUCGAGACCUUUGGCACCGUUCUAAGAUGGGUCCUCUCUUCGUAGGCUAAUGCAUUGGCCCUUUUUGACCCGUUUUGGGGCGAAAACAAAAACUGACUCCCGGGCAUAUUUUUUUCGGCCUUUAUGGGCAGAGAACUUUAAUACCGCUCAAAAUGAGGCCACCCAGUAGUUAGGUGUGAAUUUUCGAGACCUUUGGCACCGUUCUAAGAUGGGUCCUCUCUUCGUAGGCUAAUGCAUUGGCCCUUUUUGACCCGUUUUGGGGCGAAAACAAAAACUGACUCCCGGGCAUAUUUUUUUCGGCCUUUAUGGGCAGAGAACUUUAAUACCGCUCAAAAUGAGGCCACCCAGUAGUUAGGUGUGAAUUUUCGAGACCUUUGGCACCGUUCUAAGAUGGGUCCUCUCUUCGUAGGCUAAUGCAUUGGCCCUUUUUGACCCGUUUUGGGGCGAAAACAAAAACUGACUCCCGGGCAUAUUUUUUUCGGCCUUUAUGGGCAGAGAACUUUAAUACCGCUCAAAAUGAGGCCACCCAGUAGUUAGGUGUGAAUUUUCGAGACCUUUGGCACCGUUCUAAGAUGGGUCCUCUCUUCGUAGGCUAAUGCAUUGGCCCUUUUUGACCCGUUUUGGGGCGAAAACAAAAACUGACUCCCGGGCAUAUUUUUUUCGGCCUUUAUGGGCAGAGAACUUUAAUACCGCUCAAAAUGAGGCCACCCAGUAGUUAGGUGUGAAUUUUCGAGACCUUUGGCACCGUUCUAAGAUGGGUCCUCUCUUCGUAGGCUAAUGCAUUGGCCCUUUUUGACCCGUUUUGGGGCGAAAACAAAAACUGACUCCCGGGCAUAUUUUUUUCGGCCUUUAUGGGCAGAGAACUUUAAUACCGCUCAAAAUGAGGCCACCCAGUAGUUAGGUGUGAAUUUUCGAGACCUUUGGCACCGUUCUAAGAUGGGUCCUCUCUUCGUAGGCUAAUGCAUUGGCCCUUUUUGACCCGUUUUGGGGCGAAAACAAAAACUGACUCCCGGGCAUAUUUUUUUCGGCCUUUAUGGGCAGAGAACUUUAAUACCGCUCAAAAUGAGGCCACCCAGUAGUUAGGUGUGAAUUUUCGAGACCUUUGGCACCGUUCUAAGAUGGGUCCUCUCUUCGUAGGCUAAUGCAUUGGCCCUUUUUGACCCGUUUUGGGGCGAAAACAAAAACUGACUCCCGGGCAUAUUUUUUUCGGCCUUUAUGGGCAGAGAACUUUAAUACCGCUCAAAAUGAGGCCACCCAGUAGUUAGGUGUGAAUUUUCGAGACCUUUGGCACCGUUCUAAGAUGGGUCCUCUCUUCGUAGGCUAAUGCAUUGGCCCUUUUUGACCCGUUUUGGGGCGAAAACAAAAACUGACUCCCGGGCAUAUUUUUUUCGGCCUUUAUGGGCAGAGAACUUUAAUACCGCUCAAAAUGAGGCCACCCAGUAGUUAGGUGUGAAUUUUCGAGACCUUUGGCACCGUUCUAAGAUGGGUCCUCUCUUCGUAGGCUAAUGCAUUGGCCCUUUUUGACCCGUUUUGGGGCGAAAACAAAAACUGACUCCCGGGCAUAUUUUUUUCGGCCUUUAUGGGCAGAGAACUUUAAUACCGCUCAAAAUGAGGCCACCCAGUAGUUAGGUGUGAAUUUUCGAGACCUUUGGCACCGUUCUAAGAUGGGUCCUCUCUUCGUAGGCUAAUGCAUUGGCCCUUUUUGACCCGUUUUGGGGCGAAAACAAAAACUGACUCCCGGGCAUAUUUUUUUCGGCCUUUAUGGGCAGAGAACUUUAAUACCGCUCAAAAUGAGGCCACCCAGUAGUUAGGUGUGAAUUUUCGAGACCUUUGGCACCGUUCUAAGAUGGGUCCUCUCUUCGUAGGCUAAUGCAUUGGCCCUUUUUGACCCGUUUUGGGGCGAAAACAAAAACUGACUCCCGGGCAUAUUUUUUUCGGCCUUUAUGGGCAGAGAACUUUAAUACCGCUCAAAAUGAGGCCACCCAGUAGUUAGGUGUGAAUUUUCGAGACCUUUGGCACCGUUCUAAGAUGGGUCCUCUCUUCGUAGGCUAAUGCAUUGGCCCUUUUUGACCCGUUUUGGGGCGAAAACAAAAACUGACUCCCGGGCAUAUUUUUUUCGGCCUUUAUGGGCAGAGAACUUUAAUACCGCUCAAAAUGAGGCCACCCAGUAGUUAGGUGUGAAUUUUCGAGACCUUUGGCACCGUUCUAAGAUGGGUCCUCUCUUCGUAGGCUAAUGCAUUGGCCCUUUUUGACCCGUUUUGGGGCGAAAACAAAAACUGACUCCCGGGCAUAUUUUUUUCGGCCUUUAUGGGCAGAGAACUUUAAUACCGCUCAAAAUGAGGCCACCCAGUAGUUAGGUGUGAAUUUUCGAGACCUUUGGCACCGUUCUAAGAUGGGUCCUCUCUUCGUAGGCUAAUGCAUUGGCCCUUUUUGACCCGUUUUGGGGCGAAAACAAAAACUGACUCCCGGGCAUAUUUUUUUCGGCCUUUAUGGGCAGAGAACUUUAAUACCGCUCAAAAUGAGGCCACCCAGUAGUUAGGUGUGAAUUUUCGAGACCUCUUGGCACCGUUCUAAGAUGGGUCCUCUCUUCGUAGGCUAAUGCAUUGGCCCUUUUUGACCCGUUUUGGGGCGAAAACAAAAACUGACUCCCGGGCAUAUUUUUUUCGGCCUUUAUGGGCAGAGAACUUUAAUACCGCUCAAAAUGAGGCCACCCAGUAGUUAGGUGUGAAUUUUCGAGACCUCUGGCACCGUUCUAAGAUGGGUCCUCUCUUCGUAGGCUAAUGCAUUGGCCCUUUUUGACCCGUUUUGGGGCGAAAACAAAAACUGACUCCCGGGCAUAUUUUUUUCGGCCUUUAUGGGCAGAGAACUUUAAUGCCGCUCAAAAUGAGGCCACCCAGUAGUUAGGUGUGAAUUUUCGAGACCUCUGGCACCGUUCUAAGAUGGGUCCUCUCUUCGUAGGCUAAUGCAUUGGCCCUUUUUGACCCGUUUUGGGGCGAAAACAAAAACUGACUCCCGGGCAUAUUUUUUUCGGCCUUUAUGGGCAGAGAACUUUAAUACCGCUCAGAAUGAGGCCACCCAGUAGUUAGGUGUGAAUUUUCGAGACCUUCUGGCACCGUUCUAAGAUGGGUCCUCUCUUCGUAGGCUAAUGCAUUGGCCCUUUUUGACCCGUUUUGGGGCGAAAACAAAAACUGACUCCCGGGCAUAUUUUUUUCGGCCUUUAUGGGCAGAGAACUUUAAUACCGCUCAGAAUGAGGCCACCCAGUAGUUAGGUGUGAAUUUUCGAGACCUCUGGCACCGUUCUAAGAUGGGUCCUCUCUUCGUAGGCUAAUGCAUUGGCCCUUUUUGACCCGUUUUGGGGCGAAAACAAAAACUGACUCCCGGGCAUAUUUUUUUCGGCCUUUAUGGGCAGAGAACUUUAAUACCGCUCAGAAUGAGGCCACCCAGUAGUUAGGUGUGAAUUUUCGAGACCUUUGGCACCGUUCUAAGAUGGGUCCUCUCUUCGUAGGCUAAUGCAUUGGCCCUUUUUGACCCGUUUUGGGGCGAAAACAAAAACUGACUCCCGGGCAUAUUUUUUUCGGCCUUUAUGGGCAGAGAACUUUAAUGCCGCUCAGAAUGAGGCCACCCAGUAGUUAGGUGUGAAUUUUCGAGACCUUUGGCACCGUUCUAAGAUGGGUCCUCUCUUCGUAGGCUAAUGCAUUGGCCCUUUUUGACCCGUUUUGGGGCGAAAACAAAAACUGACUCCCGGGCAUAUUUUUUUCGGCCUUUAUGGGCAGAGAACUUUAAUGCCGCUCAGAAUGAGGCCACCCAGUAGUUAGGUGUGAAUUUUCGAGACCUCUGGCACCGUUCUAAGAUGGGUCCUCUCUUCGUAGGCUAAUGCAUUGGCCCUUUUUGACCCGUUUUGGGGCGAAAACAAAAACUGACUCCCGGGCAUAUUUUUUUCGGCCUUUAUGGGCAGAGAACUUUAAUACCGCUCAAAAUGAGGCCACCCAGUAGUUAGGUGUGAAUUUUCGAGACCUUUGGCACCGUUCUAAGAUGGGUCCUCUCUUCGUAGGCUAAUGCAUUGGCCCUUUUUGACCCGUUUUGGGGCGAAAACAAAAACUGACUCCCGGGCAUAUUUUUUUCGGCCUUUAUGGGCAGAGAACUUUAAUACCGCUCAAAAUGAGGCCACCCAGUAGUUAGGUGUGAAUUUUCGAGACCUCUGGCACCGUUCUAAGAUGGGUCCUCUCUUCGUAGGCUAAUGCAUUGGCCCUUUUUGACCCGUUUUGGGGCGAAAACAAAAACUGACUCCCGGGCAUAUUUUUUUCGGCCUUUAUGGGCAGAGAACUUUAAUACCGCUCAAAAUGAGGCCACCCAGUAGUUAGGUGUGAAUUUUCGAGACCUUUGGCACCGUUCUAAGAUGGGUCCUCUCUUCGUAGGCUAAUGCAUUGGCCCUUUUUGACCCGUUUUGGGGCGAAAACAAAAACUGACUCCCGGGCAUAUUUUUUUCGGCCUUUAUGGGCAGAGAACUUUAAUACCGCUCAGAAUGAGGCCACCCAGUAGUUAGGUGUGAAUUUUCGAGACCUUUGGCACCGUUCUAAGAUGGGUCCUCUCUUCGUAGGCUAAUGCAUUGGCCCUUUUUGACCCGUUUUGGGGCGAAAACAAAAACUGACUCCCGGGCAUAUUUUUUUCGGCCUUUAUGGGCAGAGAACUUUAAUACGCCGCUCAGAAUGAGGCCACCCAGUAGUUAGGUGUGAAUUUUCGAGACCUUUGGCACCGUUCUAAGAUGGGUCCUCUCUUCGUAGGCUAAUGCAUUGGCCCUUUUUGACCCGUUUUGGGGCGAAAACAAAAACUGACUCCCGGGCAUAUUUUUUUCGGCCUUUAUGGGCAGAGAACUUUAAUACCGCUCAGAAUGAGGCCACCCAGUAGUUAGGUGUGAAUUUUCGAGACCUUUGGCACCGUUCUAAGAUGGGUCCUCUCUUCGUAGGCUAAUGCAUUGGCCCUUUUUGACCCGUUUUGGGGCGAAAACAAAAACUGACUCCCGGGCAUAUUUUUUUCGGCCUUUAUGGGCAGAGAACUUUAAUACCGCUCAGAAUGAGGCCACCCAGUAGUUAGGUGUGAAUUUUCGAGACCUUUGGCACCGUUCUAAGAUGGGUCCUCUCUUCGUAGGCUAAUGCAUUGGCCCUUUUUGACCCGUUUUGGGGCGAAAACAAAAACUGACUCCCGGGCAUAUUUUUUUCGGCCUUUAUGGGCAGAGAACUUUAAUACCGCUCAAAAUGAGGCCACCCAGUAGUUAGGUGUGAAUUUUCGAGACCUUCUGGCACCGUUCUAAGAUGGGUCCUCUCUUCGUAGGCUAAUGCAUUGGCCCUUUUUGACCCGUUUUGGGGCGAAAACAAAAACUGACUCCCGGGCAUAUUUUUUUCGGCCUUUAUGGGCAGAGAACUUUAAUACCGCUCAAAAUGAGGCCACCCAGUAGUUAGGUGUGAAUUUUCGAGACCUCUGGCACCGUUCUAAGAUGGGUCCUCUCUUCGUAGGCUAAUGCAUUGGCCCUUUUUGACCCGUUUUGGGGCGAAAACAAAAACUGACUCCCGGGCAUAUUUUUUUCGGCCUUUAUGGGCAGAGAACUUUAAUACCCGCUCAGAAUGAGGCCACCCAGUAGUUAGGUGUGAAUUUUCGAGACCUUCUGGCACCGUUCUAAGAUGGGUCCUCUCUUCGUAGGCUAAUGCAUUGGCCCUUUUUGACCCGUUUUGGGGCGAAAACAAAAACUGACUCCCGGGCAUAUUUUUUUCGGCCUUUAUGGGCAGAGAACUUUAAUACCGCUCAAAAUGAGGCCACCCAGUAGUUAGGUGUGAAUUUUCGAGACCUCUGGCACCGUUCUAAGAUGGGUCCUCUCUUCGUAGGCUAAUGCAUUGGCCCUUUUUGACCCGUUUUGGGGCGAAAACAAAAACUGACUCCCGGGCAUAUUUUUUUCGGCCUUUAUGGGCAGAGAACUUUAAUACCGCUCAAAAUGAGGCCACCCAGUAGUUAGGUGUGAAUUUUCGAGACCUUUGGCACCGUUCUAAGAUGGGUCCUCUCUUCGUAGGCUAAUGCAUUGGCCCUUUUUGACCCGUUUUGGGGCGAAAACAAAAACUGACUCCCGGGCAUAUUUUUUUCGGCCUUUAUGGGCAGAGAACUUUAAUGCCGCUCAGAAUGAGGCCACCCAGUAGUUAGGUGUGAAUUUUCGAGACCUUUGGCACCGUUCUAAGAUGGGUCCUCUCUUCGUAGGCUAAUGCAUUGGCCCUUUUUGACCCGUUUUGGGGCGAAAACAAAAACUGACUCCCGGGCAUAUUUUUUUCGGCCUUUAUGGGCAGAGAACUUUAAUGCCGCUCAAAAUGAGGCCACCCAGUAGUUAGGUGUGAAUUUUCGAGACCUUUGGCACCGUUCUAAGAUGGGUCCUCUCUUCGUAGGCUAAUGCAUUGGCCCUUUUUGACCCGUUUUGGGGCGAAAACAAAAACUGACUCCCGGGCAUAUUUUUUUCGGCCUUUAUGGGCAGAGAACUUUAAUACCGCUCAAAAUGAGGCCACCCAGUAGUUAGGUGUGAAUUUUCGAGACCUUUGGCACCGUUCUAAGAUGGGUCCUCUCUUCGUAGGCUAAUGCAUUGGCCCUUUUUGACCCGUUUUGGGGCGAAAACAAAAACUGACUCCCGGGCAUAUUUUUUUCGGCCUUUAUGGGCAGAGAACUUUAAUGCCGCUCAAAAUGAGGCCACCCAGUAGUUAGGUGUGAAUUUUCGAGACCUUUGGCACCGUUCUAAGAUGGGUCCUCUCUUCGUAGGCUAAUGCAUUGGCCCUUUUUGACCCGUUUUGGGGCGAAAACAAAAACUGACUCCCGGGCAUAUUUUUUUCGGCCUUUAUGGGCAGAGAACUUUAAUACCCGCUCAGAAUGAGGCCACCCAGUAGUUAGGUGUGAAUUUUCGAGACCUUUGGCACCGUUCUAAGAUGGGUCCUCUCUUCGUAGGCUAAUGCAUUGGCCCUUUUUGACCCGUUUUGGGGCGAAAACAAAAACUGACUCCCGGGCAUAUUUUUUUCGGCCUUUAUGGGCAGAGAACUUUAAUACCGCUCAGAAAUGAGGCCACCCAGUAGUUAGGUGUGAAUUUUCGAGACCUUUGGCACCGUUCUAAGAUGGGUCCUCUCUUCGUAGGCUAAUGCAUUGGCCCUUUUUGACCCGUUUUGGGGCGAAAACAAAAACUGACUCCCGGGCAUAUUUUUUUCGGCCUUUAUGGGCAGAGAACUUUAAUACCGCUCAGAAAUGAGGCCACCCAGUAGUUAGGUGGGAAUUUUCGAGACCUUUGGCACCGUUCUAAGAUGGGUCCUCUCUUCGUAGGCUAAUGCAUUGGCCCUUUUUGACCCGUUUUGGGGCGAAAACAAAAACUGACUCCCGGGCAUAUUUUUUUCGGCCUUUAUGGGCAGAGAACUUUAACACCGCUCAAAAUGAGGCCACCCAGUAGUUAGGUGUGAAUUUUCGAGACCUUUGGCACCGUUCUAAGAUGGGUCCUCUCUUCGUAGGCUAAUGCAUUGGCCCUUUUUGACCCGUUUUGGGGCGAAAACAAAAACUGACUCCCGGGCAUAUUUUUUUCGGCCUUUAUGGGCAGAGAACUUUAAUACCGCUCAAAAUGAGGCCACCCAGUAGUUAGGUGUGAAUUUUCGAGACCUUUGGCACCGUUCUAAGAUGGGUCCUCUCUUCGUAGGCUAAUGCAUUGGCCCUUUUUGACCCGUUUUGGGGCGAAAACAAAAACUGACUCCCGGGCAUAUUUUUUUCGGCCUUUAUGGGCAGAGAACUUUAACACCGCUCAAAAUGAGGCCACCCAGUAGUUAGGUGGGAAUUUUCGAGACCUUUGGCACCGUUCUAAGAUGGGUCCUCUCUUCGUAGGCUAAUGCAUUGGCCCUUUUUGACCCGUUUUGGGGCGAAAACAAAAACUGACUCCCGGGCAUAUUUUUUUUCGGCCUUUAUGGGCAGAGAACUUUAACACCGCUCAAAAUGAGGCCACCCAGUAGUUAGGUGGGAAUUUUCGAGACCUUUGGCACCGUUCUAAGAUGGGUCCUCUCUUCGUAGGCUAAUGCAUUGGCCCUUUUUGACCCGUUUUGGGGCGAAAACAAAAACUGACUCCCGGGCAUAUUUUUCAUUUCGGUCCUUUAUGGGCAGAGAACUUUAAUACGCGGCCUCAGUAUGAGUAAUAUCAAAGUUUUUUACCAUGAAAACGCUCGGAGAUGCCCUGACACAGUUCUAAGAUUCGUCCCAAUACUUUUCUUCCCAUGGUUUAGUUGUGCUUCUUUGAUCCGUUGUGCAACCUAUUUAGACCGAUGAUAGCCCGCGGAUAGGUGUGGAAACCCAUCUAUAUUGCACCCAAGUAGGACACAGCAAAAAAUGAGCCCAGGGCCUAGGGGUCGGGUGGGGCUCGUUCGGGGUGCACAACGGUUGCGCCCAAAAACGGUCCAAAAAUGGGCCAAGGCUUUACCAGACGAAAACAUCGGCCGAUUUUUAACCAUGUGAGAAACGUCCCGAAAGUUCACAGAUAACUACUAGGCGGCCUCACUCUGAGUAAUAUCAAAGUUUUUUCCCACAAAAAGCGCUCGGAGAUGCCCAGACUCAGUUUUUAUUUUCGUCCCAAUACUUUUCUUCCCAUGGUUUAGUUGUGAAUUUUCGUUUGAUCUUGUGCAACCUAUUUAGAUCGAUGAUAGCCCGCGGAUGGGUGUGGAAACCCAUCUAUAUUGCACCCAGUUAGGACACAGAAAAAAACUGACUCCAGGGCCUAGGGGUCGGGUGGGGCUCGUUCUGGGUGCACAACGGUUGCGCCAAAAACGGUCCAAAAAUGGCCAAGGCUUUACCAACACGAAAAAUCGGCCGAUUUUUAACACAUGUGAGAAACGUCCCGAAAGUUCACAGAUAACUACGUAGGCGGCCUCACUCUGAGUAAUAUCAAACGUUUUUUCCCACGAAAAAGCGCUCGGAGAUGCCCAGACUCAGUUUUUAUUUUCGUCCCAAUACUUUUCUUCCCAUGGUUUAGUUGUGUCUCUUUGAUCUUGUGCAACCUAUUUAGACCGAUGAUAGCCCGCGGAUGGGUGUGGAAACCCAUCUAUAUUGCACCCAGUAGGACACAGAAAAAAAGCCCAGGGCCUAGGGGUCGGGUGGGGCUCGUUCGGGGUGCACAACGGUUGCGCCAAAAACGGUCCAAAAAUGGCCAAGGCUUUACCACACGAAAAAUCGGCCGAUUUUUAACCAUGUGAGAAACGUCCCGAAAGUUCACAGAUAACUACUAGGCGGCCUCACUCUGAGUAAUAUCAAAGUUUUUUCCCACAAAAAGCGCUCGGAGAUGCCCAGACUCAGUUUUUAUUUUCGUCCCAAUACUUUUCUUCCCAUGGUUUAGUUGUGUUUCUUUGAUCUUGUGCAACCUAUUUAGACCGAUGAUAGCCCGCGGAUGGGUGUGGAAACCCAUCUAUAUUGCACCCAGUAGGACACAGAAAAAAAGCCCAGGGCCUAGGGGUCGGGUGGGGCUCGUUCGGGGUGCACAACGGUUUGCGCCAAAAACGGUCCAAAAAUGGCCAAGGCUUUACCACACGAAAAAUCGGCCGAUUUUUAACCAUGUGAGAAACGUCCCGAAAGUUCACAGAUAACUACUAGGCGGCCUCACUCUGAGUAAUAUCAAAGUUUUUUCCCACAAAAAGCGCUCGGAGAUGCCCAGACUCAGUUUUUAUUUUCGUCCCAAUACUUUUCUUCCCAUGGUUUAGUUGUGUUUCUUUGAUCUUGUGCAACCUAUUUAGACCGAUGAUAGCCCGCGGAUGGGUGUGGAAACCCAUCUAUAUUGCACCCAGUAGGACACAGAAAAAAAGCCCAGGGCCUAGGGGUCGGGUGGGGCUCGUUCGGGGUGCACAACGGUUGCGCCAAAAACGGUCCAAAAAUGGCCAAGGCUUUACCACACGAAAAAUCGGCCGAUUUUUAACCAUGUGAGAAACGUCCCGAAAGUUCACAGAUAACUACUAGGCGGCCUCACUCUGAGUAAUAUCAAAGUUUUUUCCCACAAAAAGCGCUCGGAGAUGCCCAGACUCAGUUUUUAUUUUCGUCCCAAUACUUUUCUUCCCAUGGUUUAGUUGUGUUUCUUUGAUCUUGUGCAACCUAUUUAGACCGAUGAUAGCCCGCGGAUAGGUGUGGAAACCCAUCUAUAUUGCACCCAGUAGGACACAGAAAAAAAGCCCAGGGCCUAGGGGUCGGGUGGGGCUCGUUCGGGGUGCACAACGGUUGCGCCAAAAACGGUCCAAAAAUGGCCAAGGCUUUACCACACGAAAAAUCGGCCGAUUUUUAACCAUGUGAGAAACGUCCCGAAAGUUCACAGAUAACUACUAGGCGGCCUCACUCUGAGUAAUAUCAAAGUUUUUUCCCACAAAAAGCGCUCGGAGAUGCCCAGACUCAGUUUUUAUUUUCGUCCCAAUACUUUUCUUCCCAUGGUUUAGUUGUGUUUCUUUGAUCUUGUGCAACCUAUUUUAGACCGAUGAUAGCCCGCGGAUAGGUGUGGAAACCCAUCUAUAUUGCACCCAGUAGGACACAGAAAAAAAGCCCAGGGCCUAGGGGUCGGGUGGGGCUCGUUCGGGGUGCACAACGGUUGCGCCAAAAACGGUCCAAAAAUGGCCAAGGCUUUACCACACGAAAAAUCGGCCGAUUUUUAACCAUGUGAGAAACGUCCCGAAAGUUCACAGAUAACUACUAGGCGGCCUCACUCUGAGUAAUAUCAAAGUUUUUUCCCACAAAAAGCGCUCGGAGAUGCCCAGACUCAGUUUUUAUUUUUCGUCCCAAUACUUUUCUUCCCAUGGUUUAGUUGUGUUUCUUUGAUCUUGUGCAACCUAUUUAGACCGAUGAUAGCCCGCGGAUGGGUGUGGAAACCCAUCUAUAUUGCACCCAGUAGGACACAGAAAAAAAGCCCAGGGCCUAGGGGUCGGGUGGGGCUCGUUCGGGGUGCACAACGGUUGCGCCAAAAACGGUCCAAAAAUGGCCAAGGCUUUACCACACGAAAAAUCGGCCGAUUUUUAACCAUGUGAGAAACGUCCCGAAAGUUCACAGAUAACUACUAGGCGGCCUCACUCUGAGUAAUAUCAAAGUUUUUUCCCACAAAAAGCGCUCGGAGAUGCCCAGACUCAGUUUUUAUUUUCGUCCCAAUACUUUUCUUCCCAUGGUUUAGUUGUGUUUCUUUGAUCUUGUGCAACCUAUUUAGACCGAUGAUAGCCCGCGGAUAGGGUGUGGAAACCCAUCUAUAUUGCACCCAGUAGGACACAGAAAAAAAAGCCCAGGGCCUAGGGGUCGGGUGGGGCUCGUUCGGGGUGCACAACGGUUGCGCCAAAAACGGUCCAAAAAUGGCCAAGGCUUUACCACACGAAAAAUCGGCCGAUUUUUAACCAU
rnacentral:lncRNA from 1 species